GCCUGCGGCUUAAUUUGACUCAACACGGGGAAACUCUCCAGGUCCAGACACAAUAAGGAUUGACAGAUUGAGAGCUCUUUCUUGAUUUUGUGGGUGGUGGUGCAUGGCCGUUCUUAGUUGGUGGAGUGAUUUGUCUGCUUAAUUGCGAUAACGAACGAGACCUUAACCUACUAAAUAGUGGUGCUAGCAUUUGCUGGUUAUCCACUUCUUAGAGGGACUAUCGGUUUCAAGCCGAUGGAAGUUUGAGGCAAUAACAGGUCUGUGAUGCCCUUAGACGUUCUGGGCCGCACGCGCGCUACACUGACGGAGCCAGCGAGUCUAACCUUGGCCGAGAGGUCUUGGUAAUCUUGUGAAACUCCGUCGUGCUGGGGAUAGAGCAUUGUAAUUAUUGCUCUUCAACGAGGAAUUCCUAGUAAGCGCAAGUCAUCAGCUUGCGUUGAUUACGUCCCUGCCCUUUGUACACACCGCCCGUCGCUAGUACCGAUUGAAUGGCUUAGUGAGGCC
rnacentral:rRNA from 1 species